GUUUUUGUAGUUGAAUUACAACGGUGGUUUUUCAAGUCAUUAGUCCUAGUUAGAGUCUUGGCAGAAACU
rnacentral:tRNA from 2 species